rnacentral:piRNA from 1 species
UCUACUGAACAGUCAUGAGGAAA